AUUUAAAUAAUUUAAAUAAAAUAUUGAUUUGUGGAAUCAAAAAUAUGACGGAGUCAUUUUAAAUU
rnacentral:tRNA from 1 species